AACGUUUCGACUGGUGGACUUGUCUUUUUCAAGGCCUUGUCGACAAGUCCACUUGUCGAAACGUUAGUUCCUGCUUUCCCUUUGUUCUCGUUUUGCUUAUCCUCUUGAAUUUCCAUCUCCCACCUUCCCCGUGUUUUACUUGGAUUGGUGUGUGUCAUGGGGGAGUGGCAU
rnacentral:lncRNA from 1 species